rnacentral:rRNA from 1 species
GACGAACGCUGGCGGCGUGCUUAACACAUGCAAGUCGAACGGAAAGGCCCUGCUUUUGUGGGGUGCUCGAGUGGCGAACGGGUGAGUAACACGUGAGUAACCUGCCCUUGACUUUGGGAUAACUUCAGGAAACUGGGGCUAAUACCGGAUAGGAGCUCCUGCUGCAUGGGGGGGUUGGAAAGGUUCGGCGGGUGGGGAUGGACUCGCGGCUUAUCCGCUUGUUGGGGGGGUAGUGGCUUACCAAGGCUUUGACGGGUAGCCGGCCUGAGAGGGGGACCGGCCACAUUGGGACUGAGAUACGGCCCAGACUCCUACGGGAGGCAGCAGUGGGGAAUAUUGCACAAUGGGCGGAAGCCUGAUGCAGCAACGCCGCGUGCGGGAUGACGGCCUUCGGGUUGUAAACCGCUUUCGCCUGUGACGAAGCGUGAGUGACGGUAAUGGGUAAAGAAGCACCGGCUAACUACGUG